rnacentral:rRNA from 1 species
AGUGAACGCUGGCGGUAGGCCUAACACAUGCAAGUCGAACGGCAGCACAGGAGAGCUUGCUCUCUGGGUGGCGAGUGGCGGACGGGUGAGGAAUACAUCGGAACGUGCCCUAGAGUGGGGGAUAACUAGUCGAAAGACUAGCUAAUACCGCAUACGAUCUACGGAUGAAAGUGGGGGAUCGCAAGACCUCAUGCUCCUGGAGCGGCCGAUAUCUGAUUAGCUAGUUGGUGGGGUAAAAGCUCACCAAGGCGACGAUCAGUAGCUGGUCUGAGAGGACGACCAGCCACACUGGGACUGAGACACGGCCCAGACUCCGACGGGAGGCAGCAGUGGGGAAUUUUGGACAAUGGGGGCAACCCUGAUCCAGCAAUGCCGCGUGAGUGAAGAAGGCCUUCGGGUUGUAAAGCUCUUUUGUCAGGGAAGAAACGGUUCUGGAUAAUACCUGGAGCUAAUGACGGUACCUGAAGAAUAAGCACCGGCUAACUACGUGCCAGCCGCCGCCGUAA